rnacentral:rRNA from 1 species
GAUGAACGCUGGCGGCGUGCCUAAUACAUGCAAGUCGAGCGAACAGACGAGGAGCUUGCUCCUCUGACGUUAGCGGCGGACGGGUGAGUAACACGUGGAUAACCUACCUAUAAGACUGGGAUAACUUCGGGAAACCGGAGCUAAUACCGGAUAAUAUAUUGAACCGCAUGGUUCAAUAGUGAAAGACGGUUUUGCUGUCACUUAUAGAUGGAUCCGCGCCGCAUUAGCUAGUUGGUAAGGUAACGGCUUACCAAGGCAACGAUGCGUAGCCGACCUGAGAGGGUGAUCGGCCACACGGGAACUGAGACACGGUCCAGCCUCCUCCGGGAGGCAGCAGUAGGGAAUCUUCCGCGAUGGGCGAGAGCUUGACGGAGCAACGCCGCGUGAGUGAUGAAGGUCUUCGGAUCGUAAAACUCUGUUAUUAGGGAAGAACAAAUGUGUAAGUAACUAUGCACGUCUUGACGGUACCUAAUCAGAAAGCCACGGCUAACUACGUG